GAUGAACGCUGGCGGCGUGCCUAAUACAUGCAAGUCGAGCGAACAGAUGAGGAGCUUGCUCCUCUGACGUUAGCGGCGGACGGGUGAGUAACACGUGGAUAACCUACCUAUAAGACUGGUAUAACUUCGGGAAACCGGAGCUAAUACCGGAUAAUAUAUUGAACCGCAUGGUUCAAUAGUGAAAGACGGUUUUGCUGUCACUUCUAGAUGGAUCCGCGCCGCAUUAGCUAGUUGGUAAGGUAACGGCUUACCAAGGCAACGAUGCGUAGCCGACCUGAGAGGGUGAUCGGCGACACUGGAACUGAGACACGGUCAAGACUCCUACGGGAGGCAGCAGUAGGGAAUCUGCCGCAAUGGGCGAAAGCCUGACGGAGCAACGCCGCGUGAGUGAUGAAGGUCUUCGGAUCGUAAAACUCGGUUAUUAGGGAAGAACAAAUGUGUAAGUAACUAUGCACGUCUUGACGGUACCUAAUCAGAAAGCCACGGCUAACUACGUG
rnacentral:rRNA from 1 species